AUUGAACGCUGGCGGCAGGCUUAACACAUGCACGUCGAGCGAGUGGCGGACGGGUGAGUAAUGUCUGGGCAACUGCCUGAUGGAGGGGGAUAACUACUGGAAACGGUAGCUAAUACCGCAUACCAUCAGAUGUGCCCAGAUGGGAUUAGCUCGUAGGUGGGGUAAUGGCUCACCUAGGCGACGAUCCCUAGCUGGUCUGAGAGGAUGACCAGCCAAACUGGAACUGGGCCACGGUCCAGACUCCAACGGGAGGCAGCAGGGGGGGAUAAUGCACAAUGGGCGCAAGCCUGAUGCAGCCAUGCCGCGUGUAUGAAGAAGGCCUUCGGGUUGUAAAGUACUUUCAGCGGGGAGGCGUUACCCGCAGAAGAAGCGCCGGCUAACUCCGUGCCAGCAGCCGCGGUAAUAC
rnacentral:rRNA from 1 species